GCCGCAGAAGCUGAAUGGAUUAGCAGUGGCAUGCUAAGCCAACGGUUGUGGGUCCGAGUCCCAUCUGCGGCG
rfam:Candidatus Gottesmanbacteria bacterium RIFCSPLOWO2_01_FTLL_48_11 rifcsplowo2_01_scaffold_38518, whole genome shotgun sequence.